rnacentral:rRNA from 1 species
GGAUUAGAAACCCCGGUAGUCCACGCUGUAAACGAUGAGAACUAGAUGUUGGUAGGGGAACCUAUCAGUAUCGAAGCUAACGCGAUAAGUUCUCCGCCUGGGAAGUACGGCCGCAAGGUUGAAACUCAAAUGAAUUGACGGGGGCCCGCACAAGCGGUGGAGCAUGUGGUUUAAUUCGAUGCAACGCGAAGAACCUUACCUACCCUUGACAUCCUGCGAAUCCCGAUGAGAGUUGGGAGUGCCGAAAGGAGCGCAGAGACAGGUGCUGCAUGGCUGUCGUCAGCUCGUGUUGUGAGAUGUUGGGUUAAGUCCCGUAACGAGCGCAACCCUUGUCCUUAGUUGCCAGCAAGUAAAGUUGGGGACUCUAAGGAGACUGCCGGUGAGGAACCGGAGG